GCUGGGCACUGUGGCGCAUGCCUGUAAUCCCAGUGGUUUGGGAGGCUGAGGCAGGAGGAUUGCAAGUUCAAAGCCAGCCUCAG
rnacentral:sRNA from 1 species